CUGCCAGCAGCCGCGGUAAUACCUAAGUGGCAAACGUUGUCCGGAUUUAUUGGGCGUAAAGCGAGCGCAGGCGGUUUCUUAAGUCUGAUGUGAAAGCCCCCGGCUCAACCGGGGAAGGUCAUUGGAAACUGGGAGACUUGAGUGCAGAAAAAGAAAAUGGAAUUCCAUGUGUAGCGGUGAAAUGCGUAGAUAUAUGGAGGAACACCAGUGGCGAAGGCGGCUCUCUGGUCUGUAACUGACGCUGAGGCUCGAAAGCGUGGGGAGCAAACAGGAUUAGAUACCCUGGUAGUCC
rnacentral:rRNA from 1 species